UAACUGACAAAAUUAUUUUCAUAAUACAACUGCAAAUAUAUCUGAAGAUUACUUUUCCAGAAGAAAAGGAAAAUGGAAGUGAUGAAGAAUAGAAAACUGAGGAAGAAAAGAAGGAGAAAUAUCCUUCCAUUAUCAUCAUCAUUCUUGUUGAAAUUGCUGGAUUCAACAUAAACCAUUUCAAUUUAAUGUCUUUUUACUUUAUCUAAAUCUCAGACAGUUUAUGUCUUAUUUAGCUUUUGUUGGUGCUUUUUCCCUUUCAUGUUCAACUCUUUAGAGUGUGAUAUUGUAUUAAAUAUGGUUAUCAAAAACAACGAAGGAAAUCAUCUGUUCAUUCUGAUGAAACUGUUGAAGUAAAGGAGGAAUUGGACAAAAGACCGUUGAAAAUGAAGAGUAUCGAUGAAAAUGAAUGUGAUAGUGGGGAAAAUCGUCGUCAAAUACUCAGUGAUUAAUUAACUAUGGAUAUAUGUAAUUAAUUAUGCACAGAAAGACACACGCAAUCGACUAUUCCAUCAUCAACAAAUCAACCUUUAACAUAAUCAAUAACCAUGGGAUGAUUUACCAAAGUAAAUUAAACUGGUCAAAUUAAUGGAUACAGAGAGGAAUCCAAAGUAAUAAAAUACAAACGGCAAAAUAUACAAGCUCAGUUCAAUAGAAAGCAAUUCUCAUUCUCAGUAUUUGUAAAAUUAUGUUUGUGUGAAUAAUGUAAAUAAAGAUUGAUUUGAUUAUAUAAAAUCA